rnacentral:lncRNA from 1 species
CUCACUCAGGAUGGUUUCAUCUAGUUCCAUCCAUUUUACUGCAAAUUUAAAGAUUACUUUUUUUUUUGCUCUGUUGAGUAGUAUUCCCUUGUAUAAAUGUACCACAUUUUCUCCAUUCAUUCUUCAGUUGAGGGGCAUCUAGGUUGCUUUCAGAUUCUGGCUAUUACAAAUAAUGCUAUGAACAUGGUUGAACAGAUGUCCUUGUUGUAUGAAUGUGCAUCUUUUGGGUAUAUGCCCAAGAGUGGAAAUUGCUGGAUCUUGUGGUAGACUAAUUCCCAUUUUCCUGAGGAACUGACAUACUGAUUUCCAAAAUGGCUGUAUGAGUUGGCACUCCCACCAGAAGUGGAGGAAUGAUCUGCUUUCUCCACAUCCUCUCCAGCAUAAACUGUCAUUGGUGUUUUUUAUUUUGGCCAUUCUGACAGGAGUAAGAUGGUAUCUCAGAGUUGUUUUGAUUUGCAUUUCCCUGAUGGCUAAGGAUGUUGAGCACUUUCUUAAGUGUCUUUGAGCCAUUUUAGAUUCCUCUAUUGAGAAUUUUCUAUUUAGUUUUGUACCCCACUUUUUAAUUGGGUUAUUUGGUGUUUUGGAGAUUAGCCUCUUGAGUUCUUUGUAUAUUUUGGAGAUCAGCCUUUUGUCAGAUGUGGGGCUGGUGAAUAUUUUUUCCCAUUCUGUGGGCUGCCAUUUUCUCUUGUUAACUGUACCCUUUGCCUUACAGAAGCUUCUCAGUUUCAGAAGGUCCCAGUCCCCUGGAGAAGGGGAAAGGGACAAGAUCUCCUGAGCCAACUGGGAGCAUGGGGGAGGAGAGAGGGAAUUAGGAGAAAAAGAAGGGGUGAAGAAGAGGGGAGAGGAGGACAUGAGAGAGCAGGAAGAUCGAGUGAGAGGAAUAAUAGAGGAGAGCAAGAAAAGAGAUACCAUAAUAGAGGGAGUCAUUAUAGGUUUAAAGAGAAAUCUGGUACUAGGGAAAUGUCCAGAAAUCUACAAGGUUGACCCCAACUAACAAUCUAAGCAAUAGUCGAGAGGCUACCUUAAAUGACCUUCUCUGACAAUGAGAUUGAUGACUACCUUAUAUGCCAUCCGGGAGCCUUCAUUCAGUAGCUGAUGGAAACAGAAGCAUAUACCCACAGCUAACCACUGAGCUGUGGAAUCCAGUUGCAGAGAGGGAGGAGUGAUGAGCAAAGGGGCCAAGACCAGCCUGGAGAGACCCACAGAAACAGCUGACCUGAAUAAGGGGGAGCUCAUGGAUCCCAGACUGAUACCUGGGAAUCCAGCAUAGGACUGUUCCAGACCCCCUGAAUGAGGCUGUCAGUUUGGAGGUCAGGUUAAUGGACUUGGGAGCCCACUCCACAUAGAGGGAUACACUCAUCUUCAGAGUCAGGUCCAUGGUGUUUUUCAGAUAAAACAUAUAGCAAAGUCAGAAGAAGAAAGGCCAGUUCUUGUACUUCUAAUUAUCAAUGACUGUCCAUUCAUUGAGAAAAUUACAGCAUGCUUGUGACCUUUCCCAGAAUAAGAAACCUUCAUUAGAGACCCCAUCAUGUUGGUGUUUCUUACUUCAAAAUAUCCUUAAUUAUCUAAAAGAUGAAAAAAUAUAUAUGGGACACAGAAAGAAGCAAACAGCAUUAAUUUUCAAAUCAACAUUCCAAAGGAAAAAGAACGAUUUCUCCACACCUCUGGGCUUAUACUCUGUGAUAUGCAGCGGACCAGUGCUCAGACUCAUGCUGUUUUUCUGAAGCCCCUUUAUUUAUUUUUCAUUAAUCUGUUUCCCUUGUGUGCCUGGAACUCAGUAAUCUGCUCAUCUCUAGCAUGAUCUAUACUAUAAUCCAUCGUUUCUCUCUUCAUGCAUUUUAAUGAAGCAAUUUUUGCCUCCUUUACAUAACGGCUGUCCUGAUUUCAAACUACAACAUAACCAUUUAUUGUCACAUCACUGAAAGCAAAUCUUUAAAAGGAAUACGUCACAACAGGAUAGAUAAGGAUUUUUCACUCUUUUAAUUUUUCUUUUUUGGAAGAGGCCUUUGUGAACUCAGUAGCAUUUUUAUCAUUUAAUUUUCAGUAGCUGCUCAGGCUUGGAAAUAGAUAUCCCUGUGAGACACCAACCCAAGUGGGACAAAUGCUGGUGGCAGUCAGAGUCCUUUGUCCCCUCCAGGUCUCAUCUGUUGACAGGAUGCUUUGAAUUGUUGUACUCCCCGAACUGCUCUUGCAGGUUGGUUAUGUCCUCAAAGAGCGAUAGAACAGCUGUGCAGGAAGUGGCUGCUCAGUGUUGCCAUUUUGUGUCUGGCAUUGUCUUCCCCCUGUGUUUAUUUGGUCAUUGUCCCGGACUUGGGCUGUUUGUACCAUUCUGCUUACCAGUUGUUGCACAUUCAGGUCUGUGUUUAUCUGACUGCUUUCUGACCUUUGGUAUCUGUGUGAUAUCUGACCCACCAUGGUGCUCUUUUUCCAGGAAUACUAGAUAAUGUCCUCCUGGCUAUUCUUGGGAACCAGGUUACCUUGGUGUGUCCCCGAUUUCACAGCUUGCUGUGCCCUGCACCACUGUUGGACUUUUCAAUUCUUGCACACCUUGUGGUAGAUUUAUCUUUCAUUCAUUAUUUCAUUCUUUCAAUAAUCAGCUAUUAAACACCUAUGUAUAUAGUUGUCAGAAAGAAAAAUAAGAUAAAUAUUCUUCCCAGUCACAAAAUCAUUGAUUAGAAGAUGAAAAGAUCUAAAAGGGAGACAGAGAGGAGUUUUGAAAGGCUCUUCCACACAUUUGGGGUCCCCCACUAAGAAAAAAUUUGCAGUAGUAUGGAGAGACAUUUAGGCAAGGAUUUUGGAAGGGGUUGCUGUAGAGGUGGUCCUAAGCUUCAUUAGCUUCUCUUGUGAGGCUAUGUAGUUUUCAAGAAGUGCCAAGUCAUGGAGUGAAAAUAUGAAGAGAAUAUUAUGAAGGCAUGCAGGAAAGGCAAGUAAAUACUCUUGGUGUCAAGGAUGGCUUUUUGGAAGAAGUUGGCCCUGAUCUGCUUCAAAACCUAACUUCUAUUUAAGUAGAUGAUGGAGAUAGGAAAGAGGGUGGCAGUAGGCAAAGUGUUUUGAACAUAGAGUUUUACAUAUGGGCAUCAGCCACAAUAGGAAGGCUUGAGUGCUGCCAGCAGCUGUAUUUAUUUGGAAUAGAGGAGCCAUAAGUGAUAUUGGAGAAAGAAAUGGAGAUCAAACCACUGGGAAGUUUGGUGCCACAAUAUAGAGCUUAGAUUUCAUCUUGGAUAAACCACCUUGGUGGAAAAUGUGUGUGUGUGUGUGUGUGUGUGUGUGUGUGUGUGUGUGUGUGUGUGUGUGUGUAUUUCAGUUAGGAGCUGCAGCAGUCAGAGAAGCAGGAGAUGGACAAGUUGUGAACUAAAGACAUUACAGCAGGAAGGAGUGAAGAUUAAAUGUAGGGUUGAGGAAGACUAGAGAAUAAACUCCUGGAUUUCUACCUUGGGUGUCAAAGAAAUAUCACAUGUAGAAGAGCAGGUAGGGGAGGGGGCUGAUCUGGGGGGAGAUUGUGUAUUUAGUUGUAAGAAAACUUGGCUUCCAGAAAAAAUGGCAUCCAAGUCUGAAGUUAGGGAAGAGUCUAACAGGAAGUAAACACUGGGAAAACAUGGGCACCUAGGGAACAGGUAGAAGCAAGGGGAAGAACCAGAUAACGGGGGAGGUGUGGAGAAAAGUACAGAAAGCCAGAGAGGGAGCUCUGGAAGAUGUCAGAACAAAUCACAAGAGGGACUGAGGAAGCUGCAGAGUCCGGUACCAACACAGAGGAAACUGUUUUAACAUGGUGAAGGCUGAGUCCUGCAAUAAAAAGAAUGAAACAUGUUCUUUGGGGUUUUCAGCAGGAUGCAAGUGGAGACCAGGAUGAGAAUAUGUGGACAGCUGUGAUGAGAGCAAGCCUGUUCCCAAAGGUUGAGCAAGCAGGUGUUUGCCUGCACGAUGGCAGAUGUGCAUACCUGUUAGGGGACAAUUUGUGGGAGUUGGUUCUCUCCUUCUAUCCUGUGGAUUCCAAGGAUCAGACUCACGUCACCAGGCUUGGAGGCAAGCACUCUUACCCAAUGAAGGGUUUUGCCGUCUCACAUUUCUCCUUUUGGAUCGAUGUCACAGCUAUGAGGAAGCUGUCCCAUACAUGUGGGCUCCCAUCAUUUCCUAAACUCCAGGUUCUUCUGUUCCUUUUCGGGUAUUACAUCUGUCUUUCUAGAAGUUAGCUAGUGCAAACCUGACUGUGUACAAUUUUGAUCUUGAUGUUUUCUGUCAUCUCGGAAGUUCAGUGAUUCAUAUAUUGAUGGCCCAAAUGAAACAUAAACAUCUUGUUCACCAACAAAAAAAUGGAGUGGUGUGUUGAUUUGGGCUUCAUGGAAGGAAGAUGGGGAAAGGACCAAAGGUGGCAGCAGAACGGAUUUACCCUUUCAUCUCAGUUCCUAGCCCUCUCCUAUGAUUCUCAUCCUCUUCUUGACUUGCCCUGGCAGGGAGCUAUUAGCUUCAAAGGGAAUAGAAUUAUUUGUGAGUAGAAAGAAAUCAGGAAGUGUCAGCUUCAUAUCCAUUCUAGAGGCAAGAAGAUCAAGAUCUAUGUCCACGGCCUGCCUCAAAGCAAUACAACCAGGAUUCCUGUUUGUUAGCAGUUGAGGGCAGAGGAGGUGGGCCCUGACAGUAAAUGUGAUGAUGCUUUUUAGUCCAGAAAAUGCUCUGUGGAUGCCAGCUAUUACCAUUCUUUCUGAAAAGCCGUUUGCAGGAGUGUUUGCCUGAAGCCCUCAUGGUGCACAAAUGAGGCAGCAGCAGCUCAGAGGUGAUUCAUUUUAGAGCAUAUGCCUUAUUACAGCAGGGAAAAGUGACCCACAUUAUCUGCUCAGUGCCCACUUGACAGUCUUGGUGGAAUAAAAAAGUCACCCACCAUCUCUCCUGCACUGAAUCGGUAUGUGCUGAAGUGGCCUGUCCCUGAGCUGCCACAAAACAAAAUGUAAAGUGGUUUGCCACUGAGCCUUCCUGACUGCUUCAUAUGUGACAGACAUCCUUUGGCAGCCCUGGGCACCAAAUUAGUAUUAGUGUUAAAAAGACUAUCACCUAUUUCAAAGAGAAAGGGAAAAGUAUUGCACUGCAUAAUUGUAACCAGGGACCAGUGAAUUGUAUAAAAAAAAAAAGGAGGAAAAUUAGGAUCAUGAUGGGUAAUAUGUAUCAUUUGUGCUUAGAGACAUACCAAAAUUAAAUUAAAACACACACACAGACACACAGACACACAGACACACAGAUACACACACACACACACACACACACACACACACACACACACACACACACGAACGCACGCAUGCAUGAGCGCAUGCACGCGGUUAUAUUGUCCAAAUAUAUCUGUCAGGCAUGUGAUUGCCUGUAGUGUUCCAUGGCAGAAAUAUGUCUUGUUUGCAGGUAGUCCGUAAUCUGUGAUAGAUCAUGCAGAUAAAGGCACAAUAAAUAUUUGAAAAAUAAUAGCUACAAAAGACAAGAAUACUAGGAAAUUUUGGAAAGAAUAUAAACAGUGAUAGAAUAUCUAUCCGGAAGGAUUAUUGCACAAGGAAUUUUGGCAGCUCACAUAUCAUGUGAGAACAGAAUAAAUAGGGACAGUCCUGAAGCAGCAAAGAGUUUGCAGUGGAUGUUGGGCAUGCAGAGGUGGAGGUGGAUGCAACCGUCCCUCGGUGCCCCUCAUUUGCACACACCCCUUCCCGUAACUGCAAGGGUGUGUUAGGCAUAUACUUACCAUUCUAUGGUAGUCUAUACAUUUUAACAUGGUCAAGCAUGUUAAAAUGUAUAAGCAUGGUUUGCACCACUGCUUCUUUCCAGACCAACUUCCUGGGCCACACUUCUUCAUGUAACAGCUGGAGAUGCCCCUGGGAUUUAAGUAAGGUGACUUUAGGAUGCCUUUCAAUUACAUUUAGUGGGAUAUAGCUGUGAGGGUCACAGUCACCUCCAUAUGUAGUUGAGUUGUUCCCAAUCUUUUAGUGUAGGAAUGACUUGCACUCAUAUUCCUGCUGUCCGCCUUUGCAGGAUGGUGUGGUUCUAGUGGUCGCAUAGUGAAAUGAACACUGUCCCAAUAAUACCUGAAACUGGAAGACUGUGUGUGGUGUAAGAAAAGCAGGUUUGAAAUGCACAAGAGUAGAAGUUACUCUGGAACAUUCUUUUGGUUAUCUGGCAUGUAAUACUUUUUUUUUUAAUUUGUGAUAAAAUAGACACAACAUAAAGCUACCAUUGUUAUUAGCUGUUUUUUUAACAUAAUGCUCAGUAAUAUUAAACACACGUAUGUUGUUGUAUCACCAUUACCAGCAUCCACACACAGAUUCAGAAAUCUUUCGCAGCUGAAACUCUGUACUCACUGAACAAUAAUUCCCAUUUUUUCUUUUUUUUCCAGGUUUUAGUUACCAAUAUUCCACUUUCUGAUUCUACAAAUUUGACUAUUCAAAAUGUAAAAUAUAAAAAUUGACUAUUCCAGGAACUUUAUUGUAUAAAUAGAAUCAUGCCAUAUUUGUCUUUUGUGACUGGCAUAUUUCAUUUGGCAUGAUGUCCUCAGGGCUCAUCCAUGUUGCCACCUGUCAGAUCGGCCUUCUCCCUUAAAGUUUGAAUUUCUUCCAUUGUCUACAUGAAUUGCAUUUUGUUUCAGUGAUAAUCUAUUUACCAACAUUUGGUUUGCUUCUACCUUUCAGAUGUUGAAAAGAAAAUGCUAAAAUGAACAUGAGUAUACUGUAUUUCUUAGAGUCUCUCCUGCUUUCAAAUUUUCAAGUACACCUGAUGUGUAAAAUUUUAAGAGGACAAUUAGAUUGUCAUUGAUGCCUAGUUAAAGUGGAAAUUCUCAUUUAUUAUGAAUACUUUUUUAUGAGAUGAGUAUUGACGGUGCUUGCCUUUAGUUGCAGCACCCUGGAGGCAGAGGCAGG